GGUUCUGAAACUACACUGGCUUUCAGGUAGAAGUUCUUCUGCUAUAGUGGGCAUUAAUCUGUUCAAAAGAAUUCUUGCAAGGAUUUUACCAGCAAUGGAGAGCAGAGUAAUACCUCGGUAAUUUGAACAAUCUGAUUUAUCUCCUUUCUUCUUGUACAAGGUGACGAUGACUGCGUCACGAAGGUCUGAGGGUAGUUCGCCUCGUUCCCAACAGCGCACCACAAAUUCAUGAAAUUUAGCAUGGAGUGCUUGACCUCCAUGCUUCCAG